rnacentral:tRNA from 1 species
GAGGGUAUAGUUCAGCACUAGAGCGCAUGCUUAGCACACACAAGGUCCUGGGUUCAAUCCCCAGUACCUCCA